rnacentral:rRNA from 1 species
AGAGUUUGAUCCUGGCUCAGAUUGAACGCUGGCGGCAUGCCUUACACAUGCAAGUCGAACGGUAACAGGUUAAGCUGACGAGUGGCGAACGGGUGAGUAAUAUAUCGGAACGUGCCCAGUCGUGGGGGAUAACGUAGCGAAAGCUACGCUAAUACCGCAUACGAUCUACGGAUGAAAGCGGGGGAUCGCAAGACCUCGCGCGAUUGGAGCGGCCGAUAUCAGAUUAGCUAGUUGGUGGGGUAAAAGCUCACCAAGGCGACGAUCUGUAGCUGGUCUGAGAGGACGACCAGCCUCACUGGAACUGAGACACGGUCCAGACUCCUACGGGAGGCAGCAGUGGGGAAUUUUGGACAAUGGGCGCAAGCCUGAUCCAGCAAUGCCGCGUGCAGGAUGAAGGCCUUCGGGUUGUAAACUGCUUUUGUACGGAACGAAACGGUCCUUUCUAAUACAAGGGGCUAAUGACGGUACCGUAAGAAUAAGCACCGGCUAACUACGUGCCAGCAGCCGCGGUAAUACGUAGGGUGCGAGCGUUAAUCGGAAUUACUGGGCGUAAAGCGUGCGCAGGCGGUUAUAUAAGACAGAUGUGAAAUCCCCGGGCUUAACCUGGGACCUGCAUUUGUGACUGUAUAGCUAGAGUACGGUAGAGGGGGAUGGAAUUCCGCGUGUAGCAGUGAAAUGCGUAGAUAUGCGGAGGAACACCGAUGGCGAAGGCAAUCCCCUGGACCUGUACUGACGCUCAUGCACGAAAGCGUGGGGAGCAAACAGGAUUAGAUACCCUGGUAGUCCACGCCCUAAACGAUGUCAACUGGUUGUUGGGUCUUCACUGACUCAGUAACGAAGCUAACGCGUGAAGUUGACCGCCUGGGGAGUACGGCCGCAAGGUUGAAACUCGAAGGAAUUGACGGGGACCCGCACAAGCGGUGGAUGAUGUGGUUUAAUUCGAUGCAACGCGAAAAACCUUACCCACCUUUGACAUGUACGGAAUUUGCCAGAGAUGGCUUAGUGCUCGAAAGAGAACCGUAACACAGGUGCUGCAUGGCUGUCGUCAGCUCGUGUCGUGAGAUGUUGGGUUAAGUCCCGCAACGAGCGCAACCCUUGUCAUUAGUUGCUACAUUUAGUUGGGCACUCUAAUGAGACCGCCGGUGACAAACCGGAGGAAGGUGGGGAUGACGUCAAGUCCUCAUGGCCUUAUAGGUGGGGCUACACACGUCAUACAAUGGCUGGUACAAAGGGUUGCCAACCCGCGAGGGGGAGCUAAUCCCAUAAAGCCAGUCGUAGUCCGGAUCGCAGUCUGCAACUCGACUGCGUGAAGUCGGAAUCGCUAGUAAUCGUGGAUCAGAAUGUCACGGUGAAUACGUUCCCGGGUCUUGUACACACCGCCCGUCACACCAUGGGAGCGGGUUCUGCCAGAAGUAGUUAGCCUAACCGCAAGGAGGGCGAUUACCACGGCAGGGUUCGUGACUGGGGUGAAGUCGUAACAAGGUA